rnacentral:rRNA from 1 species
AUGAUGACCGGAUCGAGCUCCCGAGUGUUCAUCAUGCCCGGCGCCAGCCAUGUCCACUACCUCGUCGCGGGAGGCUCCGGAGGAGGCGACGACCCCAGGUACCCCUGGAGCUUCAAGUCCCUGCACGAGGUGGACGCCGUCGUCCCUGCCAUCGCCCGUGGAGCACCGGUAGAGCCUUACCGGUGCCCCAUCUGCUUCCGCACAUUCGCCAGUGCCAAGGCCGUCCAUGGCCACAUGCGCAGCCACACGGACCGCAGCUGGAACCUCUCGGUGACCUCGGGCCGGACCUCUCUUUGA